rnacentral:rRNA from 1 species
UACGUAGGGUCCAAGCGUUGUCCGGAUUUAUUGGGCGUAAAGAGCUCGUAGGCGGCUUAGUAAGUCGGAUGUGAAAACUCGGGGCUCAACCCCGAGACGCCAUCCGAUACUGCUGUGGCUUGAGUCUGGUAGGGGAACACGGAAUUCCUGGUGUAGCGGUGAAAUGCGCAGAUAUCUGGAGGAACACCGGUGGCGAAGGCGGCAUCCUGGACCGGUAUUGACGCUGAGGCGCGAAAGCCAGGGGAGCAAACGGG